UCCCUGGUGGUCCAGUGGUUAGGACUUGGCACUUUCACUGCCAUGGCCCAGGUUCAAUCCCUGGUCGGGGAA
rnacentral:tRNA from 1 species